GAUGAACGCUGGCGGCGUGCCUAAUACAUGCAAGUCGAGCGAACGGACGAGAAGCUUGCUUCUCUGAUGUUAGCGGCGGACGGGUGAGUAACACGUGGAUAACCUACCUAUAAGACUGGGAUAACUUCGGGAAACCGGAGCUAAUACCGGAUAAUAUUUUGAACCGCAUGGUUCAAAAGUAAAAGACGGUCUUGCUGUCACUUAUAGAUGGAUCCGCGCUGCAUUAGCUAGUUGGUAAGGUAACGGCUUACCAAGGCAACGAUGCAUAGCCGACCUGAGAGGGUGAUCGGCCACACUGGAACUGAGACACGGUCCAGACUCCUACGGGAGGCAGCAGUAGGGAAUCUUCCGCAAAGGGCGAAAGCCUGACGGAGCAACGCCGCGUGAGUGAUGAAGGUCUUCGGAUCGUAAAACUCUGUUAUUAGGGAAGAACAUAUGUGUAAGUAACUGUGCACAUCUUGACGGUACCUAACCAGAAAGCCACGGCUAACUACGUG
rnacentral:rRNA from 1 species